UACGGGGGGGGCAAGCGUUGUUCGGAAUUACUGGGCGUAAAGGGCGCGUAGGCGGUUCAUUAAGUUGGAUGUGAAAACUCUGGGCUUAACCCAGAGCCUGCAUUCAAAACUGAUGGGCUGGAGUUCUGGAGGGGAUAGCGGAAUUCCUGGUGUAGCGGUGAAAUGCGUAGAUAUCAGGAGGAACACCGGUGGCGAAGGCGGCUAUCUGGACAGAAACUGACGCUGAGGCGCGAAAGCUAGGGGAGCAAACGGG
rnacentral:rRNA from 1 species